AGAUUGAAAUACCUACUCACCACGGGGUGGCCGACACUCUGAAUAGACAGUGAUGGAGAGACUUGCCUCCAUAUGUAGUGAAUCUGAAGAACAACCCCAGUAUGCAGUCCACAUGUACCAUUUCCAGGAUUCCAGAAAAUUCCCCCUUAGGCACCAGUGUGGUAAACAGUCCCCAACGAGCUCUCGGAAAAAAACAACCGAUGCAUCUGUGUGUGGAGUGUGUGUUUAUUGUACAUUUUACCAGUAUAAAAGAAGACACACUUUACACAAAUAAUAAUCAAAUACACAAUACUCUUUAAACUCCAUAUAGCCAAUUGAUCCUCAAAGAAAUCCUUUGUUGAUUUUUACCAAGCUCUUGCAUCUGUAGCCAGUCUAUGGUUGCAAUGGGUCAACACGUAUGGUUCUGACAUGAAUGUUGAUUUUUUUUUAAUGAGUAAUACAAAUGUCAAACAACUCCUCUGGGUGUCGAAACUUCACUUGGAUACAUUGGAUAAUAGUUUUCAAAUAAUGGAAGCCUAUUUCAGGUCUUUGUGCUAUUUGCAAUGUAAAGGCUAGAGAUGACAACUUAUAUCGGCAUUAUUAAUAUUUUUUCCAUCACUUUCUUAAGUCUAGAUAAUCAACAAAACAAUGAGUCAAGUCCCAACGUACAGUAUUUGCUGAUUUCUACAGUGUAAAUAGCCCUAUCACAGCCAAGGGCAAGCUGCCAUGAUGUCACCGAACCGACUUGGAAAGAGGCACAGUAACACACCAUUCUGUGGUAUUUCCAACCUACAGGCACAAUAAACAAUUUAUUCUCAGCAUAAAAUCCAUUAUUCCUUAAAAUGUCAAGAAAGUAAAGCUUUGACCAGAAGGAGGAAAGUGGGCCUGUGUGCUCCCAUCUCAGGAACAGGAGGCCGAGUGUAUGCUGGGAACGUCAGAGUGACAGCUAUCAAGACACCAGAAACAGAACCCGAUUCCUGCCCCAGGGCUUAUAACAAAGGCUCCAACCAGGCUUUUUUCCAAAAAUGUUUUUAAUUCCGACAUCCAUCUUAAUGGCUUACGGUAGCCUAAUUUAGCCAGUAGUUUGUUAUACUAAAAAUGGAAGCUAAUGAUUUCAGCUAAAAACAACUAAGUCCGUGCCAUCAAAGUAUAUUGUAAGAAACUGA